UACGUAGGGGGCUAGCGUUGUCCGGAUUUAUUGGGCGUAAAGAGCGUGUAGGCGGCCAGGUAGGUCUGCUGUGAAAACUCGAGGCUUAACCUCGAGAUGUCGGCGGAAACCAUCUGGCUAGAGUCCGGAAGAGGAGAGUGGAAUUCCUGGUGUAGCGGUGAAAUGCGCAGAUAUCAGGAAGAACACCCGUGGCUAAGGCGGCUCUCUAGUACGGUACUGACGCUGAGACGCGAAAAGCGUGGGGAGCGAACAGGG
rnacentral:rRNA from 1 species